rnacentral:misc_RNA from 1 species
CACACUGUGCCAUAUCUACAGAUGUUCGCACCUGUAGGUAUAGCCAGCUAACCCUUGUCUAUUUCUACCAUUUGUGAAUCCCUCGGCAGGGACGCCUGCCGCCGGGACCCCUAAACUCUUCUGUAUAAAAAGCAUUAAAAAUUUCUGAACCUAAUUAAAAUUAUUA